UCCGGUAUGGUGUAGUGGCUAACAUCGCUCGCUCUCAAAUUUCCUCCCUCAUCAAAGAGACGAGGGUUGUGAAGAUGGUUCCGAGCAGCCCAGGGUUCGAUUCCCUGUACCGGAG